GGAGUGUAUAGCUCAGCGGUAGAGUGCAUGCUUGGCAUGCAUGAGGUCCUGGGUUCAAUCCCCAGUACCUCCA